AUCCUCAGAGAUUUCUGGAGGAGACUGAAAAGAUGAUACGGAGACUGCCCUGUUCUGAUGCAAGAGCAGAUAUAGUCACCCCUUUGAGUAAUCAGGUAAUUUACCCUUUUAAAUUCGAGGACGAAUUUAAUAUAAGGGGAGGAGGACGUAACAACCCCAAAAUUUUUUUUUAUAAAAAGGGAUAGAAUAGUCCUUUAAAAUUGAUAUAAGGGGUAAAAUUGGGAGGAAUCAAAAGAUAAUGGCAUAGUUGUAGAUACGUUGAAGUGGUAAGGGUAAAAUUGGAAAGGAAUCAAAAGAUAAUGGCAUAACAGUAGAUAUGUUGAAGUGUUAGGGGCAAAAUGGGAAUUUAAUAAUAUUAAAAAAAGGGUAAUAGUGUUUUGAUGUGAUUUAAUUAGGGGGUUUACUGUGGCUUUUGGAAUGAAAGCGAGAGACAGAGAGGGGGAGUCUCAGGUGUUUCACAGAGAGGAAAGAAAGAAAGAAAAAGAGAAGAAGAAGAAGAAGAAAGAAGAAGAGGAAGGGGAUUCGAGGAGGAAAGGGAUCUCGGGUGUACUUCCAGCUGAAGGAAAAAAUGUAGAUCUCCUUCUCCUCUACGCAAGGACCUCGAUUUUCAAAAAGAAAAAGGUAAAUAUCCAUCCCUAUCUAGUCUUUUGAUGAUAUUAGGCUAUACAAAGGGUGGAUAUAGUCUAGAGGGGUCGGAUAAGGGUUGUAGAGGUGGUUAAAAGAAGAAGAAUCGGAUUUUGACAAAUUUUUCCGGCACUACGGAAAAAUUGUGUCGAAGUCCCAACUUCGGCGAAUUAUUUAGGGGGUCAAACGGCCUCCGAUGAUGAUGCAUGUUAUCUCUUUGGAAUUCUCUAUGAG
rnacentral:lncRNA from 1 species